UAAAACAUUUAUAUUUAGCUAAGCAGGGCUGAGCCUGGUUAGUACCUGGAUGGGAGGCCACAUGGGAAAACCAGGUUGCUGUUGGAU
rnacentral:rRNA from 1 species